UACGGAGGGGGCUAGCGUUGUUCGGAAUUACUGGGCGUAAAGGGCGCGUAGGCGGCCAUUCAAGUCGGAGGUGAAAGCCCAGGGCUCAACCCUGGAAUUGCCUUCGAUACUGUUUGGCUAGAGACCGGAAGAGGUAAGUGGAACUGCGAGUGUAGAGGUGAAAUUCGUAGAUAUUCGCAAGAACACCAGUGGCGAAGGCGGCUUACUGGUCCGGUUCUGACGCUGAGGCGCGAAAGCGUGGGGAGCAAACAGG
rnacentral:rRNA from 1 species